GGGUCAGUGAUGAGAACUCAUACUGUCCUCAAGAGAGAUGAUAACCUAAAAAUCAGGCUCAUUAUGUUCACGCUGAGGCCC